UACGUAGGGGGCAAGCGUUAUCCGGAUUUACUGGGUGUAAAGGGAGCGUAGACGGCAAGACAAGCCUGGAGUGAAAGGCGGGGGACCAACCCCCGGACUGCUCUGGGAACUGUCUGGCUGGAGUGCAGGAGGGGUAAGUGGAAUUCCUAGUGUAGCGGUGAAAUGCGUAGAUAUUAGGAGGAACACCAGUGGCGAAGGCGGCUUACUGGACUGUAACUGACGUUGAGGCUCGAAAGCGUGGGGAGCA
rnacentral:rRNA from 1 species